GUAACAAGGUUUCCGUAGGUGAACCUGCGGAAGGAUCAUUAUCAAAACAGCGGACUUCGGUCCUUGCUGCACCCUUGUCUUUUGCGUACCGUAUGUUUCCUCGGCGGGCUUGCCUGCCGGUUGGACAUUAUCAAACCUUUUUGUAGUUGCAAUCAGCGUCAGAAAAUAAACAAUAAUUACAACUUUCAACAACGGAUCUCUUGGUUCUGGCAUCGAUGAAGAACGCAGCGAAAUGCGAAAAGUAGUGUGAAUUGCAGAAUUCAGUGAAUCAUCGAAUCUUUGAACGCACAUUGCGCCCCUUGGUAUUCCAUGGGGCAUGCCUGUUCGAGCGUCAUUUUGUACCCUCAAGCACUGCUUGGUGUUGGGCGUUUGUCCUGCAAAGGACUCGCCUGAAAGCGAUUGGCGGCCAACGUACUGGUGGUAGAGCGCAGCACAAUUUGCGUCUCUCCCUUCUACGUCGGCGUCCAUGAAGCCUUUUUUCAACGUUUGACCUCGGAUCAGGUAGGGAUACCCGCUGAACUUAAG
rnacentral:rRNA from 1 species